rnacentral:rRNA from 1 species
ACCCCUGCAAGUCGAGCGGAUGACGGGAGCUUGUUCCUUGAUUCAGCGGCGGACGGGUGAGUAAUGCCUAGGAAUCUGCCUGGUAGUGGGGGACAACGUUUCGAAAGGAACGCUAAUACCGCAUACGUCCUACGGGAGAAAGCAGGGGACCUUCGGGCCUUGCGCUAUCAGAUGAGCCUAGGUCGGAUUAGCUAGUUGGUGGGGUAAUGGCUCACCAAGGCGACGAUCCGUAACUGGUCUGAGAGGAUGAUCAGUCACACUGGAACUGAGACACGGUCCAGACUCCUACGGGAGGCAGCAGUGGGGAAUAUUGGACAAUGGGCGAAAGCCUGAUCCAGCCAUGCCGCGUGUGUGAAGAAGGUCUUCGGAUUGUAAAGCACUUUAAGUUGGGAGGAAGGGCAGUAAGCUAAUACCUUGCUGUUUUGACGUUACCGACAGAAUAAGCACCGGCUAACUCUGUGCCAGCAGCCGCGGUAAUACAGAGGGUGCAAGCGUUAAUCGGAAUUACUGGGCGUAAAGCGCGCGUAGGUGGUUUCGUUAAGUUGGAUGUGAAAGCCCCGGGCUCAACCUGGGCACCUGCAUCCAAAACUGGGCGAGCUAGAGUACGGUAGAGGGUGGUGGAAUUUUCCUGUGUAGCGGUGAAUUGCGUAGAUAUAGGAAGGAACACCUUGGCGAAGGUUACCUCCUGGACUGAUACUGACCCUGAGGCGCCAAAGCGUGGGAACAACAGGAUAAGAUACCCUGUAGUCCCGCCGUAACGAUGUCAACUAGUCGUCGGAUUCCUUGAGAUUUUA